UGUUAAAAAUUUCAUACAUUUCUACUGUUAAAAAGUGGUGUGCCUAGUGAAAUAACCAUACAGUUACACAUAACGUGCCACAUAUACCUUAUUCUAAUGUAUAAUAAUUAGUUUUUAACAGUAAAACUGGGUAAAAUUUUUAACA
rfam:Gossypium raimondii Chr05_contig_365, whole genome shotgun sequence.